rnacentral:rRNA from 1 species
UACGGAGGGUGCAAGCGUUAUCCGGAUUCACUGGGUUUAAAGGGUGCGUAGGUGGGCUAGUAAGUCAGUGGUGAAAUCUCCGGGCUUAACCCGGAAACUGCCAUUGAUACUAUUAGUCUUGAAUACCAUGGAGGUGAGCGGAAUAUGUCAUGUAGCGGUGAAAUGCUUAGAUAUGACAUAGAACACCAAUUGCGAAGGCAGCUCGCUACGCGGUUAUUGACACUGAGGCACGGAAAGCGUGGGGAUCAAACAGG